AACAAAAAAAAAAAAAAAAGAAGAAAUAAGAGUGAAAUUCUAGAGAGAGGAAGCUUUGGUAUUCAAGUCUAUGGAUAGAGAGAGAUAGAGAGAGAGAAAUGUUGGAUGGCCUGUGGUCAGCUUAUUACAAUUAUUGCAACAAAGAAGAUUGGGAGCAAACGGCGGGACAAUUUUAAUUAUUUUUUAAACAAAAACUAAUAUUUUUUUCCCACAAUAUUUUGAUUUGUGAAUUUGAAUAUCAACAACAUUGCAAACCAAGCUUCCAACUUUUAAUCUUUGUUUUUACACUUGUUGUCUUCUUUUUCUUCAGAUGCUAUGAUGUUCUUCCAUCCUUCCCACCCUAAACAUAGUUUUCAUCUUAAGCCCUCCAAUAGAAAAAUAA
rnacentral:misc_RNA from 1 species